GACGAACGCUGGCGGCGUGCUUAACACAUGCAAGUCGAACGGAAAGGCCCUGCUUUUGUGGGGUGCUCGAGUGGCGAACGGGUGAGUAACACGUGAGUAACCUGCCCUUUACUUUGGGAUAACUUCAGGAAACUGGGGCUAAUACCGGAUAGGAGCUCCUGCUGCAUGGUGGGGGUUGGAAAGUUUCGGCGGUUGGGGAUGGACUCGCGGCUUAUCAGCUUGUUGGUGGGGUAGUGGCUUACCAAGGCUUUGACGGGUAGCCGGCCUGAGAGGGUGACCGGCCACAUUGGGAUUGAGAUACGGCCCAGACUCCUACGGGAGGCAGCAGUGGGGAAUAUUGCACAAUGGGCGGAAGCCUGAUGCAGCAACGCCGCGUGCGGGAUGACGGCCUUCGGGUUGUAAACCGCGUUCGCCUGUGACGAAGCGUGAGUGACGGUAAUGGGUAAAGAAGCACCGGCUAACUACGUG
rnacentral:rRNA from 1 species